GGUAUAGCUCAGUGGUAGAGCACAUGCUUAGCAUGCACAAGGUCCUGGGUUCAAUCCCCAGUACC
rnacentral:tRNA from 1 species